rnacentral:lncRNA from 1 species
CUCCUUAGCUUUGACAUUCAUUAUUGCUCUUGUUAUUGUUCCUGCAGAUUGGCUUUUCUAACUGUGUAUGGCUACAAGAAGCACCCCACAGCUGGGACUGGCUGGUGGCCCAGGACAUCUGGAUAUGGCUGGAAGCCUUGCUGGGAUGGAGAUGCAGACCUGAUGCUUGCUUUGGAGGGGAGAGGGACAAGGUAGUCACGUCUUCCAAAGGCUCAGAUUCCUCACUGUUGAAUGGGGACAGCAAGGAUCGACUUGGUGAGGAUUCUACAAACGAACA